rnacentral:rRNA from 1 species
AGCGAACGUUAGCGGCGGGCCUAACACAUGCAAGUCGAACGCGAAAGGUCUUCGGACUGAGUAGAGUGGCGCACGGGUGAGUAACACGUAGGUAAUCUACCCUUUGGCGGGGGAUAACGUUCCGAAAGGAGCGCUAAUACCGCAUAAGACCACGGAGUCUCCGGACGCUGUGGGAAAAGGUGGCCUCUUCUUGAAAGCUACUACCGAAGGAUGAGCCUGCGUCCCAUCAGCUAGUUGGUAAGGUAAUGGCUUACCAAGGCGAAGACGGGUAGCUGGUUUGAGAGAAUGAUCAGCCACACUGGCACUGGAACACGGGCCAGACUCCUACGGGAGGCAGCAGUGAGGAAUAUUGGGCAAUGGGCGAAAGCCUGACCCAGCCACGCCGCGUGAGUGAUGAAGGCCCUCGGGUCGUAAAGCUCUGUGGAGAGGGACGAAAACCCUGGUUUCAAAUAGGCUCCAGGCUUGACGGUACCUCUUUAGCAAGCACCGGCUAACUCUGUGCCAGCAGCCG